AUGGCACCUGGCUUAGAAACUUUGUAGUAUACUUGAGGGAAACUUGAAUUGACACAGAAAAAGUAGAGUAGCCAUACCAAAGAAAGAAUAUCACAAAUCUCAAGAAGUUAAAUCCCCUGAGAAACAAGAUCAAAAGGAGGUAAGACUCUAUUCACUCACUCAAAAGCACAUAUUAUAUAUCUAGUAUAUUGAAGGAAAUGUGCUAGUUUCAGUGCAAAUAUAUGUGAAGAAAGAUAUAUGAUACGUCUCAGGAAGAAGAAUGAGAAUAAAUGACUAUUUUCUUCACCCAAAAUUAACACUAAAGAAAUCACAUGAAGAAAUGUAGACUUCAGAAAGUAACAUCUUUAC
rnacentral:lncRNA from 1 species